CCUACGGGAGGCAGCAGUGAGGAAUAUUGGUCAAUGGGCGCGAGCCUGAACCAGCCAAGUAGCGUGAGGGAUGACUGCCCUACGGGUUGUAAACCUCUUUUGUCAAGGAAUAAAGUGAGGCACGUGUGCCUUUUUGUAUGUACUUUAUGAAUAAGGAUCGGCUAACUCCGUGCCAGCAGCCGCGGUAAUACGGAGGAUCCGAGCGUUAUCCGGAUUUAUUGGGUUUAAAGGGAGCGCAGGUGGGUUGUUAAGUCAGUUGUGAAAGUUUGGGGCGCAACCCUAAAAUUGCAGUUGAUACUGGCAGCCUUGAGUUGAGUAGAGGUAGGCGGAAUGCGUGGUGUAGCGGUGAAAUGCUUAGAUAUCACGCAGAACUCCGAUUGCGAAGGCAGCAUACCAAACCGCCACUGACAUUGAGGCUCGAAAGUGUGGGUAUCGAACAGGAUUAGAUACCCCUGUAGUC
rnacentral:rRNA from 1 species